rnacentral:lncRNA from 1 species
CAGCAGUCUGCAACCCGGAAGAGGAACCUCACCAGAAUUCAUGCUGAUACCUUGAUCUCAGACUUCCAGCCUACAGAACUGUGAGAAAUAAAAUUUGUGGCUUACAGGUCACCCAGUCUAUGGUACUUUGUUAUAGCAGUCUGAACUAAGAUAUAAAUCAAAAAUUAAACUGUUUGUCUGCAUUUUCUUGAAUGGGUUCAUAUUUUUAGUUUUCACCACCAUUCCAGGUAAUAAACAGCAUCACUCCUAGUCUUGAAUAACUGCCUUUGGUUGACAAUGUCCAUUCUAAUUUACUCUUACAGAAUACUGUGGUAUUUCCUCUUAAAUACAAUCUUCCAGGGCAAGGCAUGGUAUUCCAGGUAAGAACAGUUAGUUUGUAACUUUUGUAACUUCAAAUAAGGGGGCAGGGUAACGCUUUCCAUUUUGUUUCUGUUUUUCUUAGAUCUACUUCAUUUGUCAACCAUUUUGUUUCUCUCUCUUUUUUUUUUUUUCCUGAAACAGGGUCUUGCUCUGUUGCCCAGGCUGGAGUGCAGUGGCAACAUCUUGGCUCAAUGUAGCCUUGACCUCCCACUUCAGCCUCCACAGUAGCUGAGACUACAGAUAACACACCAACAAUGGAUCCAUUCUAUGGUUUCACAAAGUCAAUCUUGGAGAAAGAACCGCCAAAAGCUGGCACAAGCAGUAGCACCUUUACAGUGGGCAGGAAAACAACCAGAAGUCUUGGGGCUGCAGAGAUCCAGGCCGGCGAGAAGUCCAGAGCAUCAGACAGGAAGAGUUUCCUGGGGGUAGGAACAGUGACUGGCACAUGCGGGAUAAAAGUUCAUGAAAGAAGCCGAAUCGAUUAAAGGAAAUAAAAAGGCAACAUUUUCCUUUGCAUGACUGAUCAUAAUGGAGACAAGGUUUCGUCGUGUUCCCC